rnacentral:misc_RNA from 1 species
GAUGAAGAACGUAGCGAAAUGCGAUAAGUAGUGUGAAUUGCAGAAUUCAGUGAAUCAUCGAAUCUUUGAACGCACAUUGCGCCCUUUGGUAUUCCAAAGGGCAUGCCUGUUCGAGCGUCAGUAAAAAGCAACUCGGCCGCGGCUGGCGGUUGGUGAUGGAGGAAGAGCACGUCUCGUUGUCGGUCUCCCCUCCCAAAAUCAACGGCGGAAUGUCACUGGCACUCGGUGUUGUAGUAUUAUUCGCCGAUCACCCAUUGUUGUUCCUGCCGCCCAAACCCCCACAAUUCUCUUGAUUGACCUCGGAUCAGGUAGGGAUACCCGCUGAACUUAAGCAUAUCAAUAAGCGGAGGA